GGCAAGGUCAUCUACUGUGAGUGAAGGAAGAGGAGCAUAAAGGAGAUUUCAGACUCGUUGCAAAGAAUGGAAAAUCAAUUCAACCAAACAUAGUAGAAUUACCAGACAGUGGUAAAGGCCCAUAUGAGGGCCAUGGCCACCACAUUAGUUGUUGGAGUUGAGACUUACUGAAGCUUUGUCUGGAUUCCAGGAUGGAAUUGAAGCAAGACAGCUUUUCCUACUAUUUGGAGUUCACCAGAUUAGCCAACAGAUCCGCAACCUCACCAUCACCUGAGAAGUUCUGAGAAAUGCAGAUUUGGGAC